UUACUUUCCGAUAAUUGACAAAACACAGAGAGAACAUUGGGUUGGAAUGUGUAAGUGUAUGGGUAGCCACAUGACGUUAUUGUCUCGUGGAAAGCACGGGUUCUUUGUUUAUUUUUUGAUUUGUUGUUGGUAAUGGUGGUGGCAAACUUUUUCAAUUAUAUCUCUUCUUAAUCUUAGAUCAAUCUUUUAACCAAAAAUUUAGCUAUAGACAACGAAGGCCAGGUAGUUCAAGUGAAAAAAUGGAUCAAUGGAACACAAGAAAUGACUACGCUCAAUCUUUCGUUGCUGCAACAACCAAUAUGGUUCCUUCAAAUUCACUUCAUUCAUUCCCACCUCGCUCUUCUACUCGUCUUCAGAACUCAGCUCUUGAACCCAGGCAGAGGCAAGAAGUGGAAGUGAAAAAUCCAAUUGCUGUUGCAAAAAAAGUUCAAAAGGCAGACCGUGAAAAAUUGAGGAGGGAUAAUCUUAAUGAGCAGUUUCUUGAAUUGGGUACCACACUAGACCCAGAUAGGCCAAAGAAUGACAAGGCAACCAUUUUGACAGACACAAUUCAAGUGCUGAAGGAUCUAACAGCUGAAGUGAACAGGCUAAAGGCUGAGUGUGCGACACUCUCAGAAGAAACCCAUGAGCUAAUGCAGGAAAAAAAUGAGCUCAGGGAAGAGAAGGCAUCUUUGAAAGCUGAUACUGAAAAUUUAAAUGCCCAGUAUCAUCAAAGUACAAGGGCUAUGUUCCCAUGGGCUGCUGUUGAUCCUUCUGUUGUAAUUCCUCCUUAUUCUUAUCCGGUUCCUGUACCUGUCCCUCCAGGCCCAAUUUCCAUGCACCCGUCAUUGCAGCCAUUUGUCUUCUUUGGAAACCAGAAUCCCGGUGCCAUUGCUAGUCCUUGUUCAACAUUUAUUCCAUACCCAACUGCAAAUCACCCAAAUGAUCAGCCACCUGCUCAGUAUGCUUCUGGUUCCCAAUUUUCAAGCAAACAGGAUUCCAGAACCAAGUCAACAGAUCACGAGGGGGGCAGAAAUAAAGAAAGAUGCAACGAUUCUUCUGAUGUUGCAACUGACCUUGAACUUAAAAUGCCUGGAUCAUCAGCACAACAGGAUAUAUCAUCUGGAGAAAAGAAAGGCAAGCAAUGUCAAAGAAAGGAAAGAAUUAUCACAAAUGUUAGCUCCUCGUGCUCGUCAUCUUCAGGGAUGCUCCUCUAACAGCAUGGAGAUGUCCCAAAACCUAAUAACUGAGGUUGCCAGUUGUUCGCGCAUUCGGUGCUUUCUAAGUGCUGACUGUUAAGAUAUUAUGUGUUUCUUGUGACACUUGGAUAAUAAUUUCCUCGAUUUGAGCUUUAGCCUGACAAGCAUGAGAUCAUUUCUAACAGCUUCAACAUGGAAGCAGCAUGCUUUAUGGUUAUAGUGGAGUUUUGGGGUAACAACCUGGUUAUCUGCGGCAACAGAAGGACCUGGAAGAGGGUGCACCGUACUCCAUUUUAUUUAGUCUACUUCUCUAGAAUUCUGAUCUGGUUCUUGACUAACUGACAUAAAGCUUAAGGUUUGUCCGAUAUUUUUUUAGGUGCCUGCUGAUCAAUAUAAGAGCAAUUUAUACAGGUGGAGAAAACUGUAAAUUAUCACUGCAAAAUGCUUGAUACUUUCAUUGGUUAGCCAGUUUAGUUGUAAACAUCCCUUUCUGUUGCAGCAUGUAACUAGGUUAGUAGGUUGUUGCAAUCAUUUCAAAAGGAAGGUUUCAAGCGUCUCGAUAGAAAGAAAAGUGAAAAGACUGGAGUCUCACAUUCGACAAUCUAUGAAAGGAGUGAAAUUCCCAGUUAAGCAUUCACCGCCAGCAAUAGAACGAAUAACAUAAUGUCGGGGGUGAAGCAACCUGCACUUGGUGAAUUUUCUUUCAUGACUGAUCUAGAUGCAUCUGGGUUUUUACCAUUCAAAAGCCAAAGCCAGUGGUUGCUGAAGGGGAGCCAGGCGUGUGAAACGAUUACAAAAGAAAUCAUAAGCAAGUUUCGGCAAAUCAUAAAAUGAGAAAAGAGACAUGCAAUGGAGAAAGAAAGUACAGUUUUUUUCUUUUUAUUUAGCCUAGCAAUCUCUCUUUAUAUCAUUAUAGCCAAGAGCUCAAAUUCUGAAAACAAUACUUCUCUGGAGGAAGCAUGUCGAAACUACUUUCAUCAGCUUAAGCAUAAUAUACGUAAUGCGUGGAUUUGUGCAUUCUGUUUA